rnacentral:lncRNA from 1 species
AUGAAGAAGGAUGAUUGGUCCAGAGAUCCCUCAAGCAUGAAGAAGCAAAAAGGUACAAAUAUUCCACCUACUCCAGCUUGCAAGGGAUUUUUAUCUCUAAAUAAUCAUGUUUUUUCCCUCACGUAUGAGUUUAAUAAAUAUUUGCUAGUACCUAUAAAAUUAAUACAUGUUGCAUUAAAUAUUUUAUAUUCAUAUUGUCUCAAAUAUUUUCUUGUUACUAGCAAGUGUUAUAAUGACAAUGAUGUUUGCUUUUUAAAAAACCUACACACAGGGACCUGCCCGGUGGCGGAGUGGUUAAGUUCACGUGAUCCGCUUCGGCAACCAGGGUUUGGCUGUUUGGAUCCUGCCUGCGGACCUGCACACUGCUUGUCAAGCCAUUCUGUGGCGGCAUCCCACACAGAGGAAUUAGAAUGACCUACAUCUAGGGUGUACAACUGUGUACUGGGGCUGUGGGAAAAGAAAAAAAAAAAAGGAAGAUUGGCAACAGAUGUUCGCUCAGGGCCAAUUUUAAGGAAGAAAAAAAAAACCUACUCACAUAUCUGGCUAUAUGAGUAGAUUGAUAGUCCAUAGGCCAUUCUAGGGAGAGUUUGUGAUGCUCAAUAGCAUCUAAAAGAAUUUAGUGUGAAAAGCAGAAGUUAAAGUGGAUCUUCAGUUUCUCUUCAUUAAUUUAAUUCUCUGGGAAUAUAAAAAGUUCUGAGAAAGUCUCUGAAGCUAAAAGUUUCACCCUUUCCAGUGACAAUUAAGAUGCCACAAUAGUCCUAAGGCAUUUUGCCUCAGCUUGCUGUUUCCUAAAAUUAGGAUAAAUGUGUGGCCUGAAGGAAAAAGAGUUGACAUUAACCAAAUUGGCCCAAUGUUUCUUCAGUAUAAGGAAAACCCACCCUGUUAAUAGAGUGGAAGAAAAGUGAACCAUGAGGAGGAGGAGGAAAGACAUCACCAUUUUCGUGGCCCUUUUAUGGGUCUCUGAGCUGAGGUCCCUAAGAGCUAGAGUCCAGCGGCAAAUUCCUGGUAUGUCUCAUCAAGGAGAGAAAUAAAAGGAGCAGUGAGUUCA